rnacentral:lncRNA from 1 species
GGGAAGGGAAUGGGGAAAAAGGAAUCAAGAUACAUCAUGUAGAGGUACAAAUUCCCUACAAUGGAUGUGAUCAUUAUGUAAAUCUAAAGUGUACCAAAAAAAAUUAAAAGUGGAAAAAAAGGAAUACAACAAUAGCAGAAACAGAGCAGUGGCUACCUCAGUGGCUGAGGCAGAGGAUUCUGAAGAAACAGAUCUGAAAGAGCUGCUGCUCACAUCUGAGAUCCAGAUAUCCCUGGAGAGGGCGUGGCUCUGAGGAGCUGUGCUGGCAGGCAGACUCACAGGAAGUGGCAUUCGGUGCAGACCCACAGAGGUAUGGCCCAUGGGGGAGUGUGUGUGGAAGCCCCCUUUGUGCUGCCAAUGUCUCUUCCUGCUGGCUGCAGCACACUCCAGCAGAUGGCCUCCCAAACACCCAGGAAGAAGAGACCUGCUUCCUUCCAGGGUCCUCUCUGAAAAUGCUUAGCAUUGUUCCACUUGGCAGGGGAAAAAUGUCCCAGUAGCCAAAGCAAGACAAGGAAGGGUGGAUUUUUGGAUUUAAGAGACAAUAAUCAGUGACCAGCACAGUCCACCUUUUUGGCUUCCAUAUGCGUCUUUCUACACACAUUUAAACCAAACUACUGAAUGACUAUGUUUCCACCUAGCAGUAUACAGCCAACUUUCCUAGAAGUUAAAAAACAAAUCUCAUCCUUUCCCCAAAAUGAAAAACAGCACGGACCCAGCAGUCACUGUACCCACUGAGAGCUACAUUAAUUAUUCACAAAAUUGAAUUAUUCAAAAUUGUAAGGUUUAUCCUUAGCUAGUUGUAUAUAAAACAAUAUUGGGAAAGAGAAAGUGGAUAACGAUACAAAUAGGCAGUUACGUAUGACAAAUAAAAUUUUUGAAAAGCUACUUACUGCAGUCCCUGUUUUUGUAAUUAUCUGUCUUCCAUGAAGCUGUAGCUGAUAGCUAUUGAUUUCUUUCCCUUGCCCUCAGCCAAUAACCUCAGCUUGUUCGAAUUCUUUAUCCAGUGCAUAAUUCAAAUUGUCAUUCCUAAAAGAAUGUGAGUCCAUGAUCAUCCAGCUUUUUAUUUUUGCACUUUCCAUUAUUAUUAUUAUUUUUAUUUAUUUAUUUUUUUUGGUACCACAGAUCAAACUCGGG